GAUAGAAAAGAGUAGUUCUAUGGGAUUUGAGAGACUAAGUUUGAGAGUCUGUGGCCACAAUAGUAUGAUUGAUAGAAAAGAGUUUCCAUAAUGAUCAUAAUUGGACUUAAACUGAUCGAAUUUAUCAUAUGACUGAUGAUGAGGUUUAAUGAUUUAUCUAUGACCUGCCAUCUAGUCGGAACUCACGAUAAAGGGACUGAA
rnacentral:lncRNA from 1 species